UGUUCGGAACCCGAGCAGUGUAAGGUGAUGAGGACUCCCAAGGGUUGGGCUGAGAGGUGCUCCCGCCCCGCCCCUCCCCGCCCGCUGAGACACAAGGUGCUUUCGCUAGAGGCCUCGGCAUCCAGUCGGCUUUCUCCCGGUGGAAUGAGGGCAGAAAUGGAGUCUAAACAGUGGUUCAAAGGCUUCGAGAUUCCUUGGUCUAACAAUUUCUCCUCAAAUUGUAGAAAUAACAACACUGAAUAACCAUCUUUUA